rnacentral:rRNA from 1 species
UCAGGAUGAACGCUAGCUACAGGCUUAACACAUGCAAGUCGAGGGGCAGCGAGAGGAAAGCUUGCUUCCUGUCGGCGACCGGCGCACGGGUGAGUAACGCGUAUCCAACUUCCCCAUAGUAGAGGAUAGCCCGGCGAAAGUCGGAUUAAUACUCUAUGUUGUGUCAUGAGGACAUCUGAAUAACACUAAAGAUUUAUCGCUAUGGGAUGGGGAUGCGUCUGAUUAGCUGUUGGCGGGUAACGGCCCACCAAGGCGACGAUCAGUAGGGGUUCUGAGAGGAAGGUCCCCCACAUUGGUACUGAGACACGGACCAAACUCCUACGGGAGGCAGCAGUGAGGAAUAUUGGUCAAUGGACGAGAGUCUGAACCAGCCAAGUAGCGUGCAAGGAUGACUGCCCUAUGGGUUGUAAACUGCUUUUAUGCGGGAAUAAAGUCAGGUACGCGUACCUGUUUGUAUGUACCGCAUGAAUAAGGACCGGCUAAUUCCGUGCCAGCCGCGGC